rnacentral:rRNA from 1 species
AGCAGCCGCGGUAAUUCCAGCUCCAAUAGCGUAUAUUAAAGUUGUUGCAGUUAAAAAGCUCGUAGUUGAAUUUCGGGGUUAGUACGCUGGUCAUGCCUUCGGUAUGUACUGGUGUUACCGAUUCCUACCUUCUGAAGAACCGUCAUGUCAUUAGUUUGGUGUGGCGGGGAAUCAGGACUGUUACUUUGAAAAAAAUUAGAGUGUUUAAAGCAGGCUCGCGCUUGAAUACAUUAGCAUGGAAUAAUGAAAUAGGACGUUCGAUCCUAUUUUGUUGGUUUCUAGGAUUGACGUAAUGAUUAAUAGGGAUAGUUGGGGGCAUUAGUAUUCAAUUGUCAGAGGUGAAAUUCUUGGAUUUAUUGAAGACUAACUACUGCGAAAGCAUUUGCCAAGGAUGUUUUCAUUAAUCAAGAACGAAAGUUAGGGAAUCGAAGACGAUCAGAUACCGUCGUAGUCUUAACCAUAAACUAUGCCGACUAGGGAUCGGAUGAUGUUAUUUUUAAUGUACUCAUUCGGCGCCUUA